UCAGGAUAAACGCUGGCGGCGCACAUAAGACAUGCAAGUCGAACGAACUUAACUCAAUCUUUAGUUGAGAGCGGUUAGUGGCGGACUGGUGAGUAAUACGUAAGCAACCUGCCUAUCAGAGGGGAACAACAGUUAGAAAUGACUGCUAAUACCGCAUAUGCCAUAAUAAUCACAUGAUUAAAGUGGGAAAGGAGCAAUCCGCUGAUAGAUGGGCUUACGGCUGAUUAGCUAGUUGGUAAGGUAACGGCCUACCAAGGCGACGAUCAGUAGCCGGACUGAGAGGUUCAACGGCCACAUUGGGACUGAGAUACGGCCCAGACUCCUACGGGAGGCAGCAGUCGGGAAUUUUGCGCAAUGGAGGAAACUCUGACGCAGUGACGCCGCGUGCAGGAAGAAGGUUUUCGAAUUGUAAACUGCUUUAGACAGGGAAGAAAAAGGACAGUACCUGUAGAAUAAGCUCCGGCUAACUACGUGCCAGCAGCCGC
rnacentral:rRNA from 1 species